GAAGGUAUGCCUGUUUGAGAAUCACCAUCACUGAUCCGAUUGCACCCCGUGCAGUUGGUCGACAUGGGCCUUCAGCACUGAUCGCCUCGAAUUGCUCGCGAUCGUCGUGAUAUAAUGGUGGCAGCGAUGCCAUCCAGUGUUGUCGACGAUCAACCCGUGCUCGUGAUCUCAGAUCAGGCAAGGCUACCCGCUGAACUUAA
rnacentral:misc_RNA from 1 species